rnacentral:rRNA from 1 species
AGUGAACGCUGGCGGUAGGCCUAACACAUGCAAGUCGAACGGCAGCACAGUAAGAGCUUGCUCUUACGGGUGGCGAGUGGCGGACGGGUGAGGAAUACAUCGGAAUCUACUUUUUCGUGGGGGAUAACGCAGGGAAACUUACGCCAAUACCGCAUACGACCUACGGGUGAAAGCAGGGGAUCUUCGGACCUUGCGCGAGUGAAUGAGCCGAUGUCGGAUUAGCUAGUUGGCGGGGUAAAGGCCCACCAAGGCGACGAUCCGUAGCUGGUCUGAGAGGAUGAUCAGCCACACUGGAACUGAGACACGGUCCAGACUCCUACGGGAGGCAGCAGUGGGGAAUAUUGGACAAUGGGCGAAAGCCUGAUCCAGCCAUGCCGCGUGGGUGAAGAAGGCCUUCGGGUUGUAAAGCCCUUUUGUUGGGAAAGAAAAGCAGCAGGUUAAUACCCCGCUGUUCUGACGGUACCCAAAGAAUAAGCACCGGCUAACUUCGUG